rnacentral:rRNA from 1 species
AACGCGAAGAACCUUACCUGGGCUCGAAAUGUAGUGGAAUAGGGUGGAAACAUCCUAGGCUCGCAAGAGACUGCUAUAUAGGUGCUGCAUGGCUGUCGUCAGCUCGUGUCGUGAGAUGUUGGGUUAAGUCCCGCAACGAGCGCAACCCUUAUCCCUAGUUGCCAUCGGGUCAAGCCGGGGACUCUAGUGAGACCGCCGAUAUUAAAAUCGGAGGAAGGUGGGGACGACGUCAAGUCAUCAUGGCCCUUAUGUCCAGGGCUACACACGUGCUACAAUGGUUGCUACAGAGCGCUGCAAACCCGCGAGGGAGAGCCAAUCGCAAAAAAGCAACCUCAGUACAGAUAGGAGUCUGCAACUCGACUCCUUGAAGUCGGAAUCGCUAGUAAUCGCUGAUCAGCAGGCAGCGGUGAAUACGUUCCCGGGCCUUGUACACACCGCUAGUC